GAAUAUUAGACUAAUGAAAAAGCACCUGUAACAUUCUGUUUGUUGUUUAAACUAAUAAAUGUUACAACGGCUUGCCAUAUCGCUUGGAGAAAGCGAGAGAGUGAGGGAGGGCAUUGCUGCUUAAAAUGCUGUGAAUGUGACAGCCAAUCGACCAGACUGCCAGCCUCAGCUUGGGGAGGAAAUGUAGAAAAACCUCCGUGAGUAAAAUGCGCGCGAAGUGACGCGACACGCGCCGCUCCACAAGUGCCCUGACUAUCUGCCACGGACAGCGCGAGAAGCAGGGCGCGAAACCGACUCGCCCUUUUGAGGGGACAAACAUGACUGUGGUGCCCGGGGAGAACCUCGAAGAGACUGUGGCAUUGGCAGCCCUGUCCCAAGAUGUUUACGACCCUGAACGGGCAGACCAGGAGUGCUGCGAGCGGGUGGUUAUCAACAUCUCCGGCUUGCGCUUCGAAACCCAACUAAAAACACUGGCGCAGUUCCCCGCCACCUUACUCGGUGACCCCAGGAAAAGAAUGCGCUUCUUCGACCCUCUGAGGAACGAGUACUUCUUCGACAGGAACCGACCGAGCUUUGAUGCCAUCCUCUACUACUAUCAGUCUGGAGGCAGGCUGAGGAGACCCGUCAAUGUUCCCGUGGACAUCUUCAUGGAGGAGAUCAAAUUCUACGAGCUAGGAGAAGAAGUCAUUGAGAAUUUUAGGGAGGACGAGGGGUUCAUCAAGGAGGAAGAGCGACCUUUGCCCGAAAACGAGUUUCAGAGACAGGUCUGGCUGCUGUUCGAGUACCCCGAGAGCUCUGGACCCGCGAGGGGCAUCGCAAUCGUCUCGGUGCUCGUCAUCUUGAUAUCAAUUGUCAUCUUUUGCUUGGAGACUUUACCAGAGUUUAGGGAAGACGGGAAAAUGGUCGAGGAGCACCUCGCACUCAAUGGAACUGCUAGUUCAAAGAAGCCCAAUCCAUUCACAGACCCCUUCUUUAUUGUGGAGACCCUGUGUAUAAUCUGGUUCUCUUUUGAAUUGCUCGUGAGGUUCCUCGCGUGCCCAAGCAAGCCCGCCUUCUUCAAGAAUAUCAUGAACACGAUUGACAUCGUGGCUAUUAUCCCCUACUUCAUCACCUUGGGUCUGGAGUUGGCCGAGCAUCAGGGUAACGGCCAGCAGGCCAUGUCUCUGGCCAUCCUGAGGGUCAUUCGCUUGGUGCGGGUGUUCCGCAUAUUCAAGCUUUCCAGACACUCGAAGGGGCUUCAGAUCCUGGGCAAGACCCUGCAAGCGAGCAUGCGAGAGCUGGGGCUCCUCAUAUUCUUCCUUUUCAUCGGAGUUAUACUGUUCUCCAGCGCCGUGUAUUUCGCCGAGACGGACGACCCCGAAUCGGGGUUCAGCAGCAUCCCCGAUGCCUUCUGGUGGGCAGUGGUUUCCAUGACAACUGUUGGCUACGGGGACAUGUGCCCAGUCACCAUCGGGGGCAAAAUAGUGGGCUCUUUAUGUGCCAUCGCCGGUGUGCUCACCAUUGCGCUUCCAGUGCCCGUCAUCGUGUCCAAUUUCAAUUACUUCUACCACAGGGAGACCGAGCACGAGGAGCAGAUGCAGUACACGCACGUGACGUGUGGCCAGCAGCAGCCCUCGUUCGGUGAAUUUAAAAGGAGAGACAGCAAAGCGUCCCUUUCUAAAUCAGACUAUUUGGAUUCUGAGGAUGGAGAUUCAGUCAAGUACACCAACUGCAGCCCCCAUAAAGCAUACACAGGGAAGCUUACUGAUGUAUGAAUGUAGAACGCCGAGCAUUAGAAACCCAAAGAAGCGCACCUGUCUCUGUGAGUACAUCCUCAUCCUCAUCCUCAUCCCUCGCGCUGUACGUGGCUUGAGUAGAUCUGUGAGGAUUUUACUAUGACGUGAUGUGCGAUUGUUUUCGGAACUCUCUUCCAUUAACGUGACUGUAGGUCAUAGAGGCGCGAGACGUAGUUGUAUAGGCGCGAAAAAAAAGAAAAAGAAAAUUAAAUAGAACGAUUAAAUCCUCGCGUAGCACUUUAGCAGUAUACUAAACUUUGUCCACAAAUUCGUUGGCGCGUGAUCUGUUAGUUUUCCAGAAAUUUGGUGCCAGUGCGAUUCAGACGUUUACAUACUGCUCAUUUGAAAUAAAUAGUAGGACCAACGUGUAACUUUUUUUUUUUUAUGUUUUUUUUUUUAAUAGGGCAGUUCGACUGCAAGGUCAUUUUGGGAAGAAAAAAAAAACGUUUGCUACAGCUUAUUUAAAAUAUUAUUAUUGCAAUAUGUAACGUUACAUUUAGAAAUACACAUCACAGUAAAAAAAAAAAACAUAUAUUUUUUUUCUGAGGACGAUCAGUAGAAGAGCAAACCAGCUUUGUGAUAGGUAAUUUUAGGCAUUUUCAGGUUGUCACUGCAUAAGCAUUGAAAGGUUAUCUUAAAGCUACUUGAUAACAUUAUUCGUACUAUGGAGAAGCACUUCAGGGAUACAGGCUUACACUGAUAAUCAACACGAAGCUUCUUCAUUUCGUCAUGUUAUCAACAGAUGUGUAGAGGAUGAAUGAGGAGAGGCUCGAUUUCAACAGCGUGCGCUCAAAUCUGGACACGAGUUCUUCUUCAAAUACACUAGCGUUAUCUAGUGGACAACGGUGGAAACUGCAGUCUUUAAACAUAGGCUACUACAUGUGUCUCCAUAGCAACUUUCCAGACGGUUCUGGUGACAUUGGGCUAUUAUUGUUCCCUAAAUCUAUUCACAUGGAAGACGGCUUCUGGUGCUUUUAUUUUAAAACUAGGUACUUUCAUAUAUUCAGUUAAGGAAAAAUCAUCAACCCUCAGGUAGGCAGGUUUACAUUCUCAUCAGGUCUAGUUAAACUAUGAGUCCACAUCCAUAAUAAUGGAGAGACAUCUUCAUUUCUGCACUGCAACAGCGUGGAGAGGGCAUCAUGAAUUCAGCACAAAAUCGGAUUCAUUAUGACGUCACUGUGAGAAAGGAAAGUCUCUGUCUAUUGGCUGGACUAGGAGACUCAACGCCAGCAAUGUCAGUAAUGGACUAACUGAAAAUGGAAACAACUAAACAGAUUUCCGGACACACCACAUCAAGUUUUUUUUUUUUUAAAUUUUUUUUUUUAAAUUUUUUUUUUAUUGGAUUUUCACAUUAGCAGGAAGAGUUCAGACAGGAAGAGGUACAGUCAUGAAACUGGACUUCCUGUCCUUCAGAUCUGCAUACCGUAUACAUGCAGCAGAGUAUCAUCAAGGACAAUAUGAACCUUCACCAGAGCAGCAGAACAUGGGAUAAAACAAACUUCAUUUAAACCACAUUCACUUGUUCCUAUCAAAGGAAUUAUGCACAAUGUCUCAAAAGGAAUCAUAUUGCCAAAUGGGGAAUCUAACCAUGAGGAGAUAGGACAAUGUGGUGAAGAUGAAGAAGAUGAGGUAGAAACUAUUUACUUGAAAUCACAGAGUACAUGCACAAACAAUUUGUGAGAUGCAUCUUGAUGUUUAUGUGCCCUUAAAACAACAACAUGCUACUGGGACAGGUGUGACUAUGUACACGUGAAUAUUCGUCUUCAGACCAGCAGUAUGUCACAUUUAAACAUUACAGAUCAUGUGCUAUACCAAAACAUGUUAGGGAUUGCAUGGAAAGUUGGGAAAGGAAUAAAUCUUGAUUAUUAUGUUAAUUUAAUUUCUUUUUUUUUUUCAACAAACUCAGUAGUCAUUUUAAGUGGGAACAACUAUCAAUGACAACAAAUUACUUGACUGUUGAGGUUAACAUUGUUAAAUAUCUAUUUUUUUAAAGUAUCAUAGGUUUUAUAUAAAAAUGGAAUCGGUUAAACUGGUGAAAGGUUAUUUUUCUAGCUUUUUAAAAUUUUGCUAAAUCAUUUUACAUUAUCUUUCUUUCUUUGUUUCAAGGAAAUGUGUAUACAUUGAUUUCCUCCUGUAAUACUUUAUGCAGUAUAAAUAUUGAAAUGCAAAGGUUGCUGCAAGUUUGUGUCUUUAUUUCUUUUAUGAUUAUUGAUAUAGUUUCAUAAUCACUCAUCAGCGAAAGCAUCUACCUCAGUGUCCUGAUUGGCUGUUUUACUGUGUGUUUACCUCACUGUGUUGAGUUAUGUCAAACUGUUCACAAGCCUUAUUUAUGGAAACAGCUUAAGCAUACAGCAUGUGACGUUUCCCCACAUUAUUGUUGGAUGUAUGUUGUCCUGACUUUGUCCAUUCUGGUUUUGGGCAAUCAUUCAAUACAAAAAGUCAUUACAAUAAUGUAAACCUGGCAAGUAAAAACUCAUUCCAACAUUCCCCACUAUGGUACCCGGUAGGUGACAUGGUCGGUUCACAUAGUUUUGUCGUGGGAACGCGAUAAUAUGUCGUGGCCACAAGGUAUUAAUUUAUGGGAAUGCCAUGUUAACUCAUGGGUAACAACAUCUUUAUGUCGCGGCCUCAAGAUAUUAUGUUGAGGGAACAACAUGCAUUUCUCAAUGCCGCAACUUCUUAAUUGAGGGAUCGACAUAUUUUUCGCGUGGCAGCGAGUUUAUUAUUAUCAGAGAUUAUCAGAGAUGGAUUAAUUAAUAUUUUAUAUUGAAUAAAGAAAUUAUAUUACUUAUUAUAGAAAUCAUUACAUUAUUAAAUAAUAAUAUUAACCAUAGGCCUUGGCUACUGGUGCUGUAUUACAUAUGAUAGUCAGCAUUCAAAUUAAGUUUAUCAUAAAUAAAUGUUAUGUAAAGUGCAUAUUAUAAAAUUGGCCUAAAAUUAUUAUUUUUUAAUCCAUCCUACAGUCUUGUAAGUCCAUUAACUGACCAUAUUUCUCCAAUAAUAUUUGUGUAUUUACUAUUAUUAGCCUAUUAUAAUUGGUUGUAUUUUUAUAUUCGUUUAUAUUCAUUUUCCCCCUUUUUUCAAUCUUUACUUAACGUUCUGCGUACUUUUGUAAAUAAUAGCUUACUGUAAAUGCUCGACAUGCCAGUAAAGCUUUGAUUAUGCUGACUGGAAUUUUUGCUGGAAUGCAGUUUAAAUUGAACAUAUAUUUCAUUUUAUUUCUGCUAAAUAGACAAUAAUUAUAAAUACUGUAGUGUUUUGUUGAGGAUUUAAUCAUUCAUGUAGUUUAUCAUCACACAUGGGCAUCAAUACAAUCAUAAAUUCUAAACUAUAUUGGCAUAACAGUUAGACGUUUAUUUGCAAAAUAUAAGGUAGGGUAGCAAAUACUACCAUAAUUAGCAUAUACAACAAUAAAUAUAAACAUAUAGCUCUAAGUUAAUGUAAUAUAAUAUAAAAAUAUUAAAUUAAAUCUUAAUGUUAAUUAAUUUUUAUACAUUUUUUAUAAUUCCGGGUUGCUAUGGACACACAGGUUUAUUUACACAUUAAACUUGUGGCCCUCAACAUAGCAUCAAGAGGUCACGACAUAAGGAUGUCAUUAACUCGACAACAUGACGUUCCCACGAGUUAUUAUGUCAUGGCCACAACAACACUAAGUGAACCUAACACGCCACCUCCCGGGCACCAUACCGUUAGAAUAAAUAAGAGAUUGAAAUGUAUUUUCCCUGCUUUCUAAUUAUAGAGAUAUAUAGGCCUAAGAAUUGAAAUCUAUAAAUAGAUUUUAUAGGCUAAGAUGUGGGAAAUUGCAAUGAGUUUAUAUGCUAAUGAUGAUACUUAAGAGAUGAUUGUACGACAGUAGAUUUUCCUAGAUGAAAUGAAUAUAUUAUAUAUAAUGUUCCUAUUUAAAUAAAUAAUUAUUUUGUUAAGGUUUGUUCAUAAGCAUACAUGUAUCCAAUUAAAUUCCUGAAAUUCGGACUUCACAUGCAUACUGUAUGAAUAUCUGCAUCAUGUCCAAUGAAUGUCAAGCAUCCAGUUAAUCAUUUUGUCGUCUCUGUGUAUCAAAAACACUCUGCUGCUUUGAGGUCUUCCAUGUGAAAGCAAGAUGCUUCAUAAUAAUUUCUUCACAUUGCCAUUAUGUUCACUCUUUCAGUUCAUUUACAAACUAGUUUUGAUAAAUAAACAUGUAUCACCUGUUCUCUUCAUCUAAAUUGGACAUUACCACUGUUUAAAAAUAGGAUGGACAGAGCAGUUUUGGCUGACAUUGAUUCAUAUAAAUGAACAGUUUAUUUCAAUGAAUUAAAUCACUGAUUCAUUUGAGUCAUCACUCAAAGUUAAAAAAAUGUAAGUUUUGUUGCAGGCCUACCAUACAGUUUUUAACGUUCGCAUUAAACGUUUGCAGUACAGUGAUACAGUCGUAUUUUUCAAUGACAUUACAGAAAUUGUGUCGAAUAUUGCAGGAGCACAGACCCAGAGCAAUUCAUUUAUGAAUUAUUAAUCAUUAUGCUUGGUCCAUCAUUUCAUAUUUGGCACAGACACAGUGUGUUAAUAUGAUCAAGUCAAUAUAAAUUGCAGGGCUUUAGUCAUGUGUUUUCAAAUGGUUUUCAUGUUGGCUGCUGCCCCAUCAUUAGACCUGAUAUGAGCUGUGAUACAAACAUUUACUUACACAUUUGAGUAAUCAAUAGUAUGAAUGUAUCACGCAAAACAAGAAAAGUUUUUAUUAUUAAACUAAUGAUCUACAUGAAAGACUGCAGGGUAGGGGACGGCAGAAACAACUUUCACAAAUAAACCAAAGGGUCACUUAUUCCACAUACAUUUAGAAAAAUCUGCUGUGACCAUUUGUAUUAUUAUUUUUUUUUCCAAUUGAUUUCUUUGGACAUAAAAUAUUUUAUGAAGUUUUGAUGACUUCAAAGCAGGCCAAGUUGUUGACUGAGCUAAAGUGAAUGAAUUCAAACUGGUAGUAACCAGAUGGGAUUUUGUUACAGCUGUGAGUUUAAUACAACCCAGCGCUAAGUAAAAUAUGGACAAACCCAACAACUGGGAAGUUUUGACCCAG